GACGAACGCUGGCGGCGUGCCUAAUACAUGCAAGUAGAACGCACAGUUUAUACCGUAGCUUGCUACACCAUAAACUGUGAGUUGCGAACGGGUGAGUAACGCGUAGGUAACCUGCCUGGUAGCGGGGGAUAACUAUUGGAAACGAUAGUUAAUACCGCAUAAUAUUGAUUAUUGCAUGAUAAUUGAUUGAAAGAUGCUAUUGCAUCACUACCAGAUGGACCUGCGUUGUAUUAGCUAGUAGGUGAGGUAACGGCUCACCUAGGCGACGAUACAUAGCCGACCUGAGAGGGUGAUCGGCCACACUGGGACUGAGACACGGCCCAGACUCCUACGGGAGGCAGCAGUAGGGAAUCUUCGGCAAUGGACGAAAGUCUGACCGAGCAACGCCGCGUGAGUGAAGAAGGGUUUCGGAUCGUAAAGCUCUGUUGUAAGAGAAGAACGGGUGUGAGAGUGGAAAGUUCACACUGUGACGGUAUCUGACCAGAAAGGGACGGCUAACUACGUG
rnacentral:rRNA from 1 species